UUUCAUCCAAUGGUUCAACAUUCCUAAAGUAUAUGACAAGAACUACUCAACUUCAGAUCUUCAGUGAUAUCAAAUCAAGAUGCACACAUGCUUCCAAUUCAAUUCAUUUCACAAGUUACUCAACAGAUGUUACACAUUAUGAAUGAUCAAUCCACUGAGCAAAGAUGCAAUCAUGAAAUUAAGCAAUUCUCACCAGGCAAGUGUUUCACUCAAUCACUCAAGUGUUUUGGGUAACACUCCAACACUCUAUAAUUCACAAGUCACAUGAAACAAAAUUGUCAUUCAUCUAAAACAACCAAAAUCCCUUCAUGCAAAUGCCAUCAUAAGGACUUUUCCAAGGCUUGUAAUGAGGCUGGGCUAACAAGAAGAAUUGGUUUUCCUGAAAUGCAAAAUCCUUGAGUUAAGAGAGCUAUCAUAGUAUUCACAUUUAAGCACAACUUUUUUCUUCAGCAAUCUCACUUAUUCCCAACUUUUUCCCUUUUCUUUUGCAUUGAGCCCAUCUUCAUGCUUUUCUUCUUUUCUUUUCUUUUUCUCAUGUAUUUUUCUUUCACAACAUUUGAGCUCAAUGCUUUUUCAAUUGCCUUUCAAUUUCCCCCAUGCAACCCCAAACUUGAACCUUUUCAUCACAUACAAUUAAGCUCAUCCCAACUCAAGGUAAAGAAUGUCAAGACAAGGGUUCACAUCCUGUUUAAGGAUGAGGUUCAAAAAGGGUAUAAUAUUUUCAAGCACUUUGGGUGAAAAUUUGGCUAGAGAAGGGUUUUCAAAAAUGGCCUUGAUCAUAUGACAUUCACAUGCAAUUCAAUCAAUCAUCAAGAUUAAGGCAAUAUCAUUCAUGCUUUCCUAUGAACAAUACAUACAACAAUGAAAACUCUGGAGCUCAAUAGCUCACACAACAUGCGUUCUCACACAAUAUUCAUUCAAACACCCUGCUUAGCAUCAUAACCACAAUCAUAAUUCAUCACCCAUCUGUUUCACAGAAUAUCAACAUGCAAUGC
rnacentral:lncRNA from 1 species